UAUAUAUCAACACUAAUAAAAAUAAGUUGAGAAUAAGUAAUAGCUAACAAAAUUUUCGAAUUAUACAUAGUAAAUAACCAAAACAAAUCUCAACAUUAGACAAAUUAUUGAGUGCGAGAUAAGCACGAUCAAGAGGGGCUUCGUAACCGUAAUUAGCAGCAUGCCAUUUAGUUAUAAAAGUUUGUGGAUAUCUUGAAUAAAAUGAUGGAACUGCUAAAGAUAAUUUAGAAAGUAAAUCUGUUACAUCAAUAUCAUUAUUUAAUACUUUAUGAAUAAAGGUAACAUCACACUCAACUCGUUUUUCAGUUAGAGAUUUAAAAUUGUAAGGGUUAACUUUUCACAACGAAACGAGCUCAUCUUUAAGAA